GUAGAUCUAAACUGAAAGUAUAACAAGAGCCGAAACGCAUUGAUGAUGAGACGAGUGAAGGAGUUCGUGCAAUGCUAUCGUGUUGUUUUGUUUGGUGUUAUGGGUUCUAUGAAGCAUGGAGGCGGUGUGGUUUUCCGAUGGUGUUAUGGUUGUAAUGUUGCGUCGGCUUUAGAGAGUUUUUCGGUUGCGUUUGGUGGUUGUGUAUAUGUGUUAUGGUGGUUUAGAUUGAAAGAGGAGGAGGAUGAAAAU
rnacentral:lncRNA from 1 species